rnacentral:rRNA from 1 species
GAUGAACGCUAGCGGCAGGCUUAAUACAUGCAAGUCGAACGGCAGCGGGUCUAGCAAUAGAUGCCGGCGAGUGGCGCACGGGUGCGUAACACGUAUGCAAUCUACCCAUAAUUGGGAAAUAGCUCUCCGAAAGGAGAAUUAAUGUCCCAUAAGAUCUUAGAGUGGCAUCACUUAGAGAUUAAAGAUUUAUCGAUUAUGGAUGAGCAUGCGGUUGAUUAGCUAGUUGGUGAGGUAAUGGCUCACCAAGGCGACGAUCAAUAGGGGUUCUGAGAGGAAGGUCCCCCACACUGGUACUGAGAUACGGACCAGACUCCUACGGGAGGCAGCAGUAGGGAAUAUUGGGCAAUGGAGGCAACUCUGACCCAGCCAUGCCGCGCGAAGGAAGAAGGCGUUAUGCGUUGUAAACUUCUUUUAUACGGGAAGAAACGACCCUUGCGAGGGGCAUUGACGGUACCGUAUGAAUAAGCACCGGCUAACUCCGUGCCAGCCGCCGCCGUAAAAC